UACGUAGGGCGCAAGCGUUGUCCGGAAUUAUUGGGCGUAAAGAGCUCGUAGGCGGUUUGUCGCGUCUGCUGUGAAAACCUAAGGCUCAACCUUGGGCUUGCAGUGGGUACGGGCAGACUAGAGUGCGGUAGGGGUGACUGGAAUUCCUGGUGUAGCGGUGGAAUGCGCAGAUAUCAGGAGGAACACCGAUGGCGAAGGCAGGUCACUGGGCCGCAAGCUGACGCU
rnacentral:rRNA from 1 species